rnacentral:rRNA from 1 species
ACAUGCUGUGAGCUCGAUGAGUAGGGCGGGACACGUGGUAUCCUGUCUGAAUAUGGGGGGACCAUCCUCCAAGGCUAAAUACUCCUGACUGACCGAUAGUGAACCAGUACCGUGAGGGAAAGGCGAAAAGAACCCCGGCGAGGGGAGUGAAAAAGAACCUGAAACCGUGUACGUACAAGCAGUGGGAGCACGCUUAGGCGUGUGACUGCGUACCUUUUGUAUAAUGGGUCAGCGACUUAUAUUCUGUAGCAAGGUUAACCGAAUAGGGGAGCCGAAGGGAAACCGAGUCUUAACUGGGCGUUAAGUUGCAGGGUAUAGACCCGAAACCCGGUGAUCUAGCCAUGGGCAGGUUGAAGGUUGGGUAACACUAACUGGAGGACCGAACCGACUAAUGUUGAAAAAUUAGCGGAUGACUUGUGGCUGGGGGUGAAAGGCCAAUCAAACCGGGAGAUAGCUGGUUCUCCCCGAAAGCUAUUUAGGUAGCGCCUCGUGAAUUCAUCUCCGGGGGUAGAGCACUGUUUCGGCAAGGGGGUCAUCCCGA